CUUCCUGUUCCAUAGAACUUGUUGAUUCGACAAAUGGAUAAAUCUCCGUCACAGGUUUUCGUCUUUUUACAGCUGGUGAUUGGUGGGACUGACGUCAGUGUGUUUGGUAUAAUCUGAUUCUAUUGGCUCUACGGAUUAAAUGGAGAGGUCAUUUGUGCCAUUUGGACUAACCAAACGUGAAUUAUUGCCAUGCGUAAAGAUGCUUGUCAGUAGCUAUGUUUACAUGCACAACAUUUCACGAUCAGAUAAAAAAAAAAAAAAAAAAAUUGCAUUGUACCAUUUAUAUGGACAUAAGUAAUUGGAAUAAAACGGGGGAUCAGACUAAAAAUCUGUCAUAAACUUGCCGAUCAGAAUAUUCUGUUGGCAUCUAGCCAGAGCGACUUGCCACUCAAGGCAGAAAUACGUCAUGUUAACGUGGGUCGUACUUGCUCACUCAGUAAGUGCUGGUGUGCUGGUGGAGGUGACAGGUGUUCCCUAUCUUCGCUGAUGAACUUCGAUGUAUUUAAGCAGCAGGCAGCCAGCAUCUCACCGCUCGAGUGUUAGCUUUCAGUGGUAGAACUCACGCCAUCUCACGUAUUAAGUAUUUUCUCGUUUGACUUUUGCUAACCUGUCUUUGUCUUCUUGUACACCAGAUUGAGACUACCUGGAUAUUACCCAGGCUGGAUCGUCGUACUGUUUUGUUGAGCUCACUUUGUCUCGGACCUUUGGAGUACCUGAGCUUCACAGACGCCACGUUGUUAUGAUUCUACUGGACUAACUUUGCUGGCUGCCGCCAAGUGCCACCUGCCUCACACCGAUUCUACAGAACCUGUCCACCGCUCACAAGCGACCCAGCUCCGGCACCGUACCACCACUAGCUGUUGCACACUCCUGGUUUGGAGCCUUCGUACUCACCGCACUGUGUACUCAUUCCGGUCUGUCUGAAUCCCUCUCCUCCUGGCAGAGAACUCACCCAGCCUAGUAAUUAAAUACUUAUUCAUUCAUUUGUUCUUAGUUCCACUCCUACUUAUUGUUCGCUUCUUCUUUACAGCCCCACCAUGUACCAGUGCAACCACUAUAAACUUUCCUGUUUCUCCUGAGCAUUUCCUGCAUGUGGGUCAAGUCGGUUUACAAAACUAUGACACUGACAUGUUUACAUGACACAUUUUUAGUCCGAUCAGCCUUAUGUCCAUGUAAACGUUGCUAGUGAAUGCUGUUGGAGCAAGAGAGAGCUGUUUCUCUGUUUCAUUCAAUGGAAAAUAUUAGUAAUUUAAAAAACAAAUAUGUUAAAACGAACUAUUUUAGACGUAAAAAAAAAAAGUUGAUUACGUUUUGCAAGUAAAAACACAAUUUUGUGAAUGUUGCCAACACGUGCCAUACUGUGCCAAUGGGCAAAACACCUAGGUUUGUCAUGGACAUGGAUUUGUUUGGAGGUAAAAAGAUCGGAAAUGCCUGCAGUGUGAAUGGAGCUUUGGUUGCCUCUCUUCUCCGACAUACCUGAACGAGGCACGCUAACAAGAUAUUCAUUUAGUUCAAGUUUGUUGGAGAAAAGAAGUAUGGGAAAGUAGCCCUCAAAGACUGGACUUGGGCUCAUCAGAACUAAGUAGAGUCGAUGUUGACACCACAUAAAAUGUGCGUUGGACAUCUCCCAUUCCAAAGGAUGAAACAUAUCAGAGGCGUCUGACUUGAGUUCUGUUCACUGACCAUUGCCAACUACUAUAGCUAUCUGUCUCUGAACACUUUAAGCCACUAUUCCACACAGACCAUGAAUAAUGCGAAUCACUUGGAAUUGUUAAAUUUUAGGAUCCAUAAGGAUUCUUGGAAUUUUGCAAAUAUUCAGGUCCAAUCUGUGAUGCCCUAAGAUUCAGUUACCACACAGGUCCAUUAGAUAAAGGUAAAUGCUGAGAUUCGUCUUGGAAAACCUGUGGGAUUUGCCAAUUGUUGUGGUGCUGACUACUAUUAGCAACACAAGCCAAUAACCAUAAUGUAUUCCUUUCUAUCUUAAUUAUUCAAGCAUGUGGAGAAAUAGAGAUUGUACAGUACUAUGUGUGCUAAUGGUUGAAGGAGAUACAGUCCAUAAGAAUUUAAAUAUAAGAAUGUAUUUCGGCCGGGAAAAUUUCCAAGUACACACCAUGAGUUUCAAAUUAGGCCAAUGGGACAAUAAUACACUGCAAAUGCUGGGAACCAGCACAGAAACCUCCUCCCCUCAUGCAAUACCCAUAAUGUGACCCCUAUCAUUCUCCAUCAAGUGCUGCCAGUAGUGUUUAAUGUGUUUUGAAGGAUGUUUCUUUAUCUGGUGACCUUUACUCCUUUGUUUUGACUGACUGCCAAACAACAAAUCAACCAGAUGAAUAUUUGCAAUGUAGCUAGCUUAGAAGUUCACUUUGAAUUCAGCACCAGACUGGGGAGGAAGACAGAUAUAGCUAUGAGAACUUGGACUGAGGAGCUGUGGGACUGUUCUGCUCCUCCCACUACAAAAAGUCAUCAAUAUAACCAUAUUAUUUCCCCCAGCAUCAUGUAUGUGUAGCAUAAUCAGCUAUAAUUAAUCACA